UGAGGAAUAUUGGUCAAUGGGCGCAAGCCUGAACCAGCCAUCCCGCGUGAAGGAAGAAGGCGCUAUGCGUUGUAAACUUCUUUUCCAGGGGGAGAAUUUUUCCGUCGUGACGGGAAUUGACGGUACUCUGGGAAUAAGCAUCGGCUAACUCCGUGCCAGCAGCCGCGGUAAUACGGAGGAUGCGAGCGUUAUCAGGAUUUAUUGGGUUUAAAGGGUGCGUAGGCGGAUUGAUAAGUCAGUGGUGAAAGGCUGCAGCUUAACUGUAGACUUGCCGUUGAUACUGUCAGUCUUGAGUAUGGUCAAGGCAGGCGGAAUGUGUAAUGUAGCGGUGAAAUGCUUAGAUAUUACACAGAACACCGAUUGUGAAGGCAGCUUGCUGGGCCGUCACUGACGCUCAUGCACGAAAGCGUGGGGAUCGAACAG
rnacentral:rRNA from 1 species